rnacentral:rRNA from 1 species
GACGAACCGAGCGAACGUUAUUCGGAAUCACUGGGCUUAAAGGGCGCGUAGGCGGGCCAUCAAGUCAGGGGUGAAAGCCCCCAGCUCAACUGGGGAAGUGCCUUUGAUACUGACGGCCUCGAGGGAGAUAGGGGCGUGCGGAACUUCCGGUGGAGCGGUGAAAUGCGUAGAUAUCGGGAGGAACACCCGUGGCGAAGGCGGCUCACUGGGCUGACCUUGACGCUGAGGCGCGAAGGCGUGGGGAGCGAACGGG